rnacentral:rRNA from 1 species
UACAGAGGGUGCAAGCGUUGUUCGGAAUUACUGGGCGUAAAGCGUGCGUAGACGGUUAUUUAAGUCGGAUGUGAAAGCCCCGGGCUCAACCUGGGAAUUGCAUUCGAGACUGAAUAGCUAGGGUGCGGUAGAGGGAAGCGGAAUUUCCGGUGUAGCGGUGAAAUGCGUAGAUAUCGGAAGGAACAUCAGUGGCGAAAGCGGCUUCCUGGACCAGCACCGACGUUCAGGCACGAAAGCGUGGGGAGCAAACAGG